rnacentral:rRNA from 1 species
GACGAACACUGGCGGCAUGCCUUACACAUGCAAGUCGAACGGCAGCAUAGGAGCUUGCUCCUGAUGGCGAGUGGCGAACGGGUGAGUAAUAUAUCGGAACGUGCCCUAGAGUGGGGGAUAACUAGUAGAAAGAUUAGCUAAUACCGCAUACGAUCUACGGAUGAAAGUGGGGGAUCGCAAGACCUCAUGCUCCUGGAGCGGCCGAAAUCUGAUUAGCUAGUUGGUGGGGUAAAAGCCUACCAAGGCGACGAUCAAUAGCUGGUCUGAGAGGACGACCAGCAACACUGGGACUGAGACACGGCCCAGACUCCUACGGGAGGCAGCAGUGGGGAAUUUUGGACAAUGGGGGCAACCCUGAUCCAGCAAUGCCGCGUGAGUGAAGAAGGCCUUCGGGUUGUAAAGCUCUUUUGUCAGGGAAGAAACGGUUCUGGAUAAUACCUGGAGCUAAUGACGGUACCUGAAGAAUAAGCACCGGCUAACUACGUGCCAGCAGCCGCCGUAA